rnacentral:rRNA from 1 species
UACGGGGGGAGCAAGCGUUGUUCGGAUUUACUGGGCGUAAAGGGCGCGUAGGCGGCGUGACAAGUCACUUGUGAAAUCUCCGGGCUUAACUCGGAACGGUCAAGUGAUACUGUCGUGCUAGAGUACAGAAGGGGCAACUGGAAUUCUUGGUGUAGCGGUGAAAUGCGUAGAUAUCGAGAGGAACACCUGCGGCGAAGGCGGGUUGCUGGGCUGAUACUGACGCUGAGGCGCGAAGGCCAGGGGAGCAAACGGG